rnacentral:rRNA from 1 species
AGAGCGAACGCUGGCGGCAGGCCUAACACAUGCAAGUCGAGCGCCCGUAGCAAUACGGGAGCGGCAGACGGGAUAGUAACACGUGGGAACGCGCCCUUCGGUUCGGAAUAACUCAGGGAAACUUGAGCUAAUACCGGAUACGCCCUUACGGGGAAAGAUUUAUUGCCGAAGGAACGGCCCGCGUCCGAUUAGCUAGUUGGUGAGGUAAUGGCUCACCAAGGCGACGAUCGGUAGCUGGUCUGAGAGGAUGACCAGCAUCACUGGGACUGAGACACGGCCCAGACUCCUACGGGAGGCAGCAGUGGGGAAUAUGGACAAUGGGCGCAAGCCUGAUCCAGCCAUGCCGCGUGGAUGAUGAAGGCCUUAGGGUUGUAAAGUCCUUUUAACGGGGAAGAUAAUGACGGUACCGUAGAAUAAGCCCGGCUAACUUCGUGCCAGCAGCCGC